rnacentral:lncRNA from 1 species
UCAGGGCAAGUACCUUGAUCAUGGGUGCUACAGUAGGAGGUGGGAUUUGAACCAAAGUCCUUCGUGUGGAAAGCUGUAACCACUACACCACCUACUGUCCCAAUGAAAAAGGGAAGAGAUGACAGGCCUAACUACAGGAAUCCCCGAGGGCGAUGUGGCCGUUUUUCCCACAAUGGUUAGAGAGACUCCCAAUGACAAAUAACAGGGAUGGAGCCAUUCCAGUGCUGUUGCCCAUCAUGGAUGGAUGUGCAUCGGGAAUCACGGCAGAACAGGGGCACUUUAGAAGAAUUGUCCCGCCGUCACUGCUGACCCCCCACCCGGACAACGUCUCGCAUGAAUCCCCCACAGCUGUGCGCACGAUCCGCGACUGGGAAGUGAAACAAACAUGUAGCUGCAGGUAACGAAAGGACCUGGGAGCAAGCGGGGAAAAAAAAAAAGAAAUGAGCGCUCUCGCUCAGAUCCUCUCGUCAGGGGAAGGGAGGGAGGUUUUGUCAGUGGAACUGAAAUUUGCUGGAAGGAUCCACAGCCACAGUUUAAAAUUCCAUAGAAUUUUCUUUUUUUUUUUUUUUUUUUAUUUCAUUCCGUUGCUUUUUCCGCUUGCCGUGAUGGUGUCCAACGGAAAUGGAGAUCAGACCUUGUGAUUCAAAGAACUAAACUGAGGAAGGAAACAAAACCCGGGCACUGUCCUUUUUUCCUGCUAUGAAAAAUACAUUUUCCGUUGUUGUUGUUGCAGUUCGUACUACAACGAGGCAUGAAUUAUAGAAAAAGCACUUUAAUAAUUAAUCUAGAAAAAAAAGAGAGUAAAUGUUAAUGUUGAUAGGCUUCCUCAACUCAUAUUAGAGUCCUUUAUUGCCGGUGAGUCAAAACGUCUUGCACGCAGCCAGCGCAUCGAAAACACCGC